rnacentral:misc_RNA from 1 species
AAGAGACGUUGCCCUUCGGGGUAUACCUCCCACCCUUUGUUUAUUAUACCUUUGUUGCUUUGGCGGGCCCGUCCUCGGACCACCGGCUUCUGCUGGUCAGUGCCCGCCCAGAGGACCUAAAACUCUGUUUGUUAAUAUUGUCUGAGUACUAUAUAAUAGUUA